rnacentral:rRNA from 1 species
UACGAAGGGUGCAAGCGUUACUCGGAAUUACUGGGCGUAAAGCGUGCGUAGGUGGUUUUUUAAGUCCGUUGUGAAAGCCCUGGGCUCAACCUGGGAAUGGCAGUGGAUACUGGCAAGCUAGAGUGCGGUAGAGGGUAGUGGAAUUCCCGGUGUAGCAGUGAAAUGCGUAGAGAUCGGGAGGAACACCAGUGGCGAAGGCGGCUACCUGGACCAGCACUGACACUGAAGCACGAAAGCGUGGGGAGCAAACAGG